GGUAAACCCCACCUGGAGCAAGACCAAAUAGGGAGGCUUUGAAGUUGCCCGCUUCGCCUCCGGGUAGGUUGCUUGAGAUCUCGGGCGACUGGGAUCCUAGAUAGAUGAUCACCACCUUUGCAAUGAAGGUACAGAACCCGGCUUAUAGGAUUGCUUGCUAU
rnacentral:RNase_P_RNA from 1 species